CCAUUUUAUUUUAAUCGUCUGCUUCCUGACGAACUCAAAUUUGCAUUACGCCAUCAAAGACUUAACGAACGAACUCUGAUGAUAUAAUUGCAGUCUUCUACCAGGAAAAUCACAGAGUGAGAAAUGUGGUCAAGGCUUUUGUUGGUUUGUUUCGUACAGUUUAAUGUGUUCGAUCUACCCAAUCAAAAGUUUGUUCGAGGAAGUUAUUCAACGUCGAAAUACAGCACCGCGGAGAAUGUUGGCACGCUCAACCUUAGGUUAAGUCAAGCCUUGGCUAUAGUACUUAACAGACCUUCAGACUUACACUGUGCCUCCUACUGUGACUUUAACAUCCACUGCUCCAGUUUUACAGUCUACGACGAAGCCUGCAUUUUAUACGACAGUAAAUUUGAAGCCAAAGGCGUGAAGUUUUUCAAGAAGGUGUCGAAAGUUUGAAAUCCUAUCCAAACACGAGACCGUAUUCAUGGCUGGAUUCUGUUUUGAAUCUUCUGUUUCAAAACACAUUUCAGAAUGUUCACGUCUCAAUACUAAAAUAAUUCAAGAGGAUUUGUAUUUUAUGAAUUCAACCUAUACAAGUCUUCGGUGCACUGUUUUGAUUUAAAAUGUGUAAAUACACAUAUUCCUGCCAUAAUUUAAAUACACAUUCUUGACAAAAACAUUGACUUAUUGAUUCCAAUUCCCCAGGAUUUUAUAUAAAUU